GAAAAUUGACGGGAGCAUGCCAGAGGAACUCAGGAUGAAGUGAAGAGCCUGCAGUGGGGAGAUCUAGAAGCAUCGGAGCCAUAAAGAGGAUGAAAUGACAGCCGACCUCUCACGGAGUGCUGAUGACUGAAAGGAAGUGAGUUAAGACUGCCCUCUGUUUGCCACGCCCAUGCCACUGGGACCAGAAACUGUGCAAGUUCUGUGUAAGUUGUACAUCUGAAGGAGACAUUUCACUUCUGAGUGCCACCGUUGCAGGUUGACAGGUACACUGGAUAAUAAUGAGGUGGAGCACUCAGAACUGAGCCACACUGUGACACAGAAGUCGUUAAUGAAGUGAAGAUGUUUAGCCAGGACUGCUGCAGAGACUCCAGAAAUAAGAGUUAUCUUCAAAGACUUGACAGCGGUCACUAGAGAAUAAAAUUAAACUUUUUACAAGAUGACAGAACUAUCUUCUUAAAGAACACAGAAACAAUCUGAGUUACAUUCAGGCCUCUUGAUACUAAAACCUUCUGAAACAUCAGAAGCGUCAAAAUGUUCCCCUGUGGAACUGUAAGUAUAGCUUCAUUUGGUCUCAGGUUGAGCCAUUACCUUUAAGGAGGUUCUAUUUAUUACUGCCAACUUCAGUCAUCUCUUUAAGAAACU
ensembl:lincRNA Gm29291 predicted gene 29291